GCGGGGGGAGCCGCCGAUGGCGGCAGCAGCGGCGAAUCCACGCCGGUGGCGGACGCCCUGGCGACGGCAUUCGGGAGCGGGCGCAUAGUGCGGUCCGCGGCGGGGCGCAAGGACAGGCACAGCAAGGUGUGCACCGCGCGCGGGCUGCGCGACCGCCGCGUCCGCCUCGCCGCGCACACCGCCAUCCGCUUCUACGACGUGCAGGACCGCCUCGGCUACGACCGCCCCAGCAAGGCCGUCGACUGGCUCAUCCGCAACGCCAAGGCCGCCAUCGAGGAGAUCCCCAACCGGACCGAGGAGGCGCCGCCCACCGCGGAGCCCGAGGCUGCCGAGCAGAUGUCCGAGCAGGUGACCUCGACGUCGUCCUACGGGUUCGGCAACCCCAGCGGUACUGCCAUGACCAACUCCUUCCUUCAACAUUCACUUGGCGCAGACCAAGUCUCCGACAACGUCAAGUCCUUGUUUCCUUCCUCGUCCACGGCCACCGCCAGCGGCCACGAUGAGUACCGGGGCUCCCCGCCGGACCUCCUGUCGCGCACCACCAGCAGCCAGCCGCAGGAGCUGUGCCUUACCCUCCAGUCCAACCAGCAUAACAUGUUUAGCCAUGUAUCUCCCAACCAUCACGGUAUCAUGUCGGGUGCAGGCGUUCCAGGGUGGCCAGACCACGGCCAGAGAAUGCCAUCGUCAUGGCAUACCUCGGACAACAACGCGGAUGGAGAGGGCCGUGGCGCCGGCGGCAACGGCGACAGCUACAUGUUUGCAGGCAUCCCGGCGCGGCAAGGGCUGGACCAAGGCCAGCUCUUCUCGUCCAAUGGGGAAACCCUUCAGUCCAGUGCCGGCUGGGCCGCGUCUGCCCGCGCUUGGCUAGACCCUCUCGCCGGAAUCCACCAGCCGUCGGCAAUGUCUGGGCAGAUCGGAUUCAGCCAUCUGGUUGGCGGCGGCGGCGGGUUUAUGGGGUUCCUCGCGCCGGCUGCACAGCGACUCCAGCUCCAGCAGGGCGAGGAGGAUGAAGGAAGCGACGUGAUGCGAAGAGACUGA
rnacentral:rRNA from 1 species